rnacentral:rRNA from 1 species
AAAGCAUGGCCAAUGAUCAAUUAAGCCAUAUAAAUUACUCAUGUUUUCAACUCAAUUAGAAACAAACCUACCAUAAACCUCAAAAAAAGAGAA